GACGAACGCCGGCGGCGUGCUUAACACAUGCAAGUCGAACGAAGAGCGAUGGAAGCUUGCUUCUAUCAAUCUUAGUGGCGAGCGGGUGAGUAACGCGUAAUCAACCUGCCCUUCAGAGGAGGACAACAGUUGGAAACGACUGCUAAUACCGCAUACGAUCUAAACUCGGCAUCGAGGAUAGAUGAAAGGUGGCCUCUACAUGUAAGCUAUCACUGAAGGAGGGGAUUGCGUCUGAUUAGCUAGUUGGAGGGGUAACGGCCCACCAAGGCGAUGAUCAGUAGCCGGUCUGAGAGGAUGAACGGCCACAUUGGGACUGAGACACGGCCCAGACUCCUACGGGAGGCAGCAGUGGGGAAUCUUCCGCAAUGGACGAAAGUCUGACGGAGCAACGCCGCGUGAGUGAUGACGGCCUUCGGGUUGUAAAGCUCUGUUAAUCGGGACGAAAGGCCUUCUUGCGAAUAGUGAGAAGGAUUGACGGUACCGGAAUAGAAAGCCACGGCUAACUACGUG
rnacentral:rRNA from 1 species